AGUGAACGCUGGCGGUAUGCCUAACACAUGCCAGUCGAACGGCCGCACAGUAAGAUCUUGCUCUUGCGGUUGGCGAGUGACGGGCGGGUGAGUAGUACAUCGGAUUCUACUUUUUCUGGGGUGAUAACGUAGAACAACUUACGCUAAUACCGCAUACGACCUACGGGUGAAAGCAAGGGAUCUUCACAGCUUUCCCGAUUGAUUUAGCCGACGUCGGAUUACCUAGUUGGCUGGGUAAGGGCCCACCAAGGCAACGAUGCGUAGCCGGUCUGAGAGGGUGAUCAGCCACACUGGAACUGAGACACGGUCCAGACUCCUACGGGAGGCAGCAGUGGGGAAUCUUGCACAAUGGGCGAAAGCCUGACGCAGCAACACCGCGUGGGUGAAGAAGGUCUUCGGGUCGUAAAGCUCUUUUGUUAGGGAAGAAAAGAAGUAUGAUAAUCUAUGGACGUCUUGACGGUACCUAAACAAUAAGCCACGGCUAACUUCGUG
rnacentral:rRNA from 1 species